CCCAGACAGCCAGGAUGUUGGCUUAGAAGCAGCCAUCAUUUAAAGAAAGCGUAAUAGCUCACUGGUCGAGUCGGCCUGCGCGGAAGAUGUAACGGGGCUAAACCAUGCACCGAAGCUGCGGCAGCGACACUGUGUGUUGUUGGGUAGGGGAGCGUUCUGUAAGCCUGCGAAGGUGGCCUGUGAGGGUUGCUGGAGGUAUCAGAAGUGCGAAUGCUGACAUAAGUAACGAUAAAGCGGGUGAAAAGCCCGCUCGCCGGAAGACCAAGGGUUCCUGUCCAACGUUAAUCGGGGCAGGGUGAGUCGACCCCUAAGGCGAGGCCGAAAGGCGUAGUCGAUGGGAAACGGGUUAAUAUUCCCGUACUUGGUGUUACUGCGAAGGGGGGACGGAGAAGGCUAUGUUGGCCGGGCGACGGUUGUCCCGGUUUAAGCGUGUAGGUGUGUGUUCCAGGUAAAUCCGGUUCACUUUAACACUGAGGCGUGAUGACGAGGCACUACGGUGCUGAAGCAACAAAUGCCCUGCUUCCAGGAAAAGCCUCUAAGCAUCAGGUAACAUCAAAUCGUACCCCAAACCGACACAGGUGGUCAGGUAGAGAAUACCAAGGCGCUUGAGAGAACUCGGGUGAAGGAACUAGGCAAAAUGGUGCCGUAACUUCGGGAGAAGGCACGCUGACACGUAGGUGAAGUGAUUUACUCAUGGAGCUGAAGUCAGUCGAAGAUACCAGCUGGCUGCAACUGUUUAUUAAAAACACAGCACUGUGCAAACACGAAAGUGGACGUAUACGGUGUGACGCCUGCCCGGUGCCGGAAGGUUAAUUGAUGGGG
rnacentral:rRNA from 1 species